rnacentral:rRNA from 1 species
AGGAGCUUGCUCCUGAAUUCAGCGGCGGACGGGUGAGUAAUGCCUAGGAAUCUGSCUGGUAGUGGGGGACAACGUUUCGAAAGGAACGCUAAUACCGRWUACGUCCRACGGGAGAAAGCAGGGGACCUUCGGGCCUUGCGCUAUCAGAUGAGCCUAGGUCGGAUUAGCUAGUUGGUGAGGUGAAUGGCUCACCAAGGCGACGAUCCGUAACUGGUCUGAGAGGAUGAUCAGUGCACACUGGAACUGAGACACGGUCCAGACUCCUACGGGAGGCAGCAGUGGGGAAUAUUGGACAAUGGGCGAAAGCCUGAUCCAGCCAUGCCGCGUGUGUGAAGAAGGUCUUCGGAUUGUAAAGCACUUUAAGUUGGGAGGAAGGGCAGUAAGUUAAUACCUUGCUGUUUUGACGUUACCGACAGAAUAAGCACCGGCUAACUCUGUGCCAGCAGCCGCGGUAAUACAGAGGGUGCAAGCGUUAAUCGGAAUUACUGGGCGUAAAGCGCGCGUAGGUGGUUUGUUAAGUUGGAUGUGAAAGCCCCGGGCUCAACCUGGGAACUGCAUUCAAAACUGACAAGCUAGAGUAUGGUAGAGGGUGGUGGAAUUUCCUGUGUAGCGGUGAAAUGCGUAGAUAUAGGAAGGAACACCAGUGGCGAAGGCGACCACCUGGACUGAUACUGACACUGAGGU